AUUGAACGCUGGCGGCAUGCCUUACACAUGCAAGUCGAACGGCAGCACGGGAGCAAUCCUGGUGGCGAGUGGCGAACGGGUGAGUAAUAUAUCGGAACGUGCCCAGUCGUGGGGGAUAACGUAGCGAAAGCUACGCUAAUACCGCAUACGAUCUAUGGAUGAAAGCGGGGGAUCGCAAGACCUCGCGCGAUUGGAGCGGCCGAUAUCAGAUUAGGUAGUUGGUGAGGUAAAGGCUCACCAAGCCGACGAUCUGUAGCUGGUCUGAGAGGACGACCAGCCACACUGGAACUGGGACACGGUCCAGACUCCUACGGGAGGCAGCAGUGGGGAAUUUUGGACAAUGGGCGCAAGCCUGAUCCAGCAAUGCCGCGUGCAGGAUGAAGGCCUUCGGGUUGUAAACUGCUUUUGUACGGAACGAAACGGUGAGCUCUAAUACAGUUUGCUAAUGACGGUACCGGAAUAAGAAGCACCGGCUAACUACGUGCCAGCAGCCGCGGUAA
rnacentral:rRNA from 1 species